rnacentral:rRNA from 1 species
UACGAAGGGGGCUAGCGUUGUUCGGAAUUACUGGGCGUAAAGCGCGCGCAGGCGGCUAUCCAAGUCAGUGGUGAAAGCCCGGAGCUCAACUCCGGAACUGCCAUUGAAACUGUUUAGCUUGAGGACGAGAGAGGUGAGUGGAAUUCCCAGUGUAGAGGUGAAAUUCGUAGAUAUUGGAAGAACACCGAUGGCGCAGGACGGCUGCACUGUGACUGGUAUUCGACGCUGACAGGGCUGCGGAAACGUCGGGUGGGGACAACUGGAA